UACGUAGGGGGCAAGCGUUGUUCGGAAUUAUUGGGCGUAAAGCGCUCGUAGGCGGGACAGGAAGUUCGUGUUGAAAGACCUCGGCUCAACUGAGGGACCGGCUCGAAUACUCUUGUUCUUGAGGCAAUCAGAGGGUGAUGGAAUUCCCGGUGUAGCGGUGAAAUUCGUAGAUAUUCGCAAGAACACCAGUGGCGAAGGCGGCUCACUGGCCCGAUACUGACGCUGAGGCACGAAAGCGUGGGGAGCAAACAGG
rnacentral:rRNA from 1 species